UACGUAGGGGCCUAGCGUUGUCCGGAUUUAUUGGGCGUAAAGAGCUCGUAGGCGGUUCGGUAAGUCAGGUGUGAAAUCUCCACGCUCAACGUGGAGGCGCCACCUGAAACUGCCGUGACUCGAGUCCGGUAGGGGAGUGUGGAAUUCCUGGUGUAGCGGUGAAAUGCGCAGAUAUCAGGAAGAACACCCGUGGCGAAGGCGGCUCUCUGGUACGUGACUGACGCUGAGACGCGAAAGCGUGGGGAGCGAACAGG
rnacentral:rRNA from 1 species